CGGUCGCAAGAUCGUGGCCCCGCACACGGCUCAGUAACACGUAGUUAACCUACCCUUGGGACGGGGACAACGCCGGGAAACUGGCGAUAAUCCCCGAUAGGUGAGGGACGCUGGGAUGCCUCCUCGCUCAAAGCUCCGGCGCCCGAGGAUGGGACUGCGGCCUAUCAGGCUAUUGGUGGUGUGACGGACCACCAAACCUACGACGGGUACGGGCGAUGGGAGUCGGAGCCCGGAGAUGGGGACUGAGACAAGGCCCCAGGCCCUACGGGGCGCAGCAGGCGCGAAAACUCCGCAAUGCGCGUAAGCGUGACGGGGGAACCCCAAGUGCCGUUGGUCUUUUGAUCGACGGCUUUUCGGAAGUUCAAUAAGCUUCCGGAAUAAGGGCUGGGUAAGACUGGUGCCAGCCGCCGCGGUAACACCAGCAGCCCAAGUGGUGGCCGCGAUUAUUGGGCCUAAAGCGCUCGUAGCCGGAUCAGCAAGUCCUUUGUGAAAUCGGGCCGCCCAACGGUUCGGCGUGCAAAGGAUACUGUUGGUCUUGAGACCGGGAGAGGUCGGAGGUACUCUUGGGGUAGCGGUGAAAUGCUGUAAUCCUAGGGGGACCACCAGUGGCGAAGGCGUCCGACCAGAACGGAUCUGACGGUGAGGGGCGAAGGCUAGGGGAGCGAACGGGAUUAGAUACCCCGGUAGUCCUAGCUGUAAGCA
rnacentral:rRNA from 1 species